GACAGUUUCCGGCGAGGAGUGGGUGUUCUUACAGGAGGUUCUGAAACCUCCCCACUGUUUUCGCUGGAAGUGUCUCUGAGCCAUCCCUCCAGCUCAGCUCCUCUCCCCCUGCUGGUUCCUUCUUCAGCUGCUGCGUCUCUCCCAACCUGUGUGAGCCCUUUCACCUCCCUGUUGGUUCCCUCUUCAGCUGCUGCGUCUCUCCCAACCUGUGUGAGCCCUUUCACCUCCCUUCCGUCCGAUGGCAGUUCCCUGACAUCCACCUCCCCUCCAGGGCCCCCUUCACCCCCUCUCGCCCCCUCCUCUACGGGCGGUGAGGAGGCAAAACCCUGAAUGAACUUCCUUCAUCUUCCGAUGUCUCGAACACUUCUCUCAACCUGUUGCGGUUCCUGGUCUCGAAGUACACCUCCUCCUCAGAGUCCAUCUCCCCUUCCCCUUCCGAGUCCGGGAAUCCUUCCAACUCCUCCCCUUCAUCAGUGGUCCCAAAGUAUUCCCUCCGGAACCUCUCCACAGGCUGAGGUUUCCUUGGGAACCUUUGAUGGAACGUUUCUAUCAAUACCUCGUCAUUGAUAUCUUCAGCCAUUACCCAAGUGUUUUCUGACUCCGGUUCUCCUUCCCACGCUACCAAAUACUCCACCUGAUCCCCCUUCCACCUGGCGUCGAGGAUUUCAGCCACAUGGCUGCUGCAUUCUCUUUCUUCUACGACCGGUCACCGAGUGGCCAGCCCUUCUCGUCCCCCUUCGUACGGUGACAGUAACGACCUGUGAAAUACUGGGUGCAGUUUCAUGUGGUUGGGUAACCGGAGCCUGAAAGCCACUGGGUUGACCUGUUGAAUGACCUCAAAGGGACCCAACCUCCUGGGUCUUAAUUUCUUACAACCUCCUUUGAACGGCAACCCUUGGGUUGACAGCCACACCCUAUCUCCCACCCUUAUGGUUUCACCUUCCCUUCGGUUCUUGUCUGCCUGCCUCUUGUAUUCUUCCUUCGCCCUUUCUAAGUUGAGUUGGAGCUGACGAUGGAUUGCUUCCAUUUCUUCCACAAAAUGUUCGGCUGCCGGGACGCUCCAUCUCUCCCCUCUCCCCUGGGAAAGCCCUGGGAUGACACCCAUAAUUAGCCAAGAAGGGGCUCAUCCCUGUGGACACAUUCUCGGCAUUGUUGUAGGCAAAUUCCGCCAGCGCCAACUUUUCUACCCAGUCAUUCUCUCUGUCAUUGACAUAACACCUCAGGUAUUGCUGGAGGACACCGUUUGCUCUUUCCGCCUGCCCGUUGGUUUCAGGGUGCCGGGCAGUCGAAAAAUUGACCUCCACCUGCAGUAAGCUCAUGAGCUUCCUCCAGAACCUGGAAGUAAAUUGUUUUCCUCGGUCUGAGACCACCCUCAAUGGCACCCCGUGCAACCUAAAAAUGUUUUCUACAAAUAACUUCGCUGUCUCUUCCGCCGUGACUGCAUGCGAGCAAGCUACAAAGUGGCACAUCUUUGUUAGUAGGUCUACCACCACCAUGAUGGCUGUUUUCCCUUUGGACUUCGGCAGAUCAGUCAUAAAAUCUAUCGACACUGCCUCCCAAGGUCGUUCUGGGGUUGGUAAGGGUUCUAAUAGCCCCGCCGGCGCCCGCCUUUCCCCUUUGGCUCGCUGGCAUUGCUCGCACCCUCUUACAUACUCACGUACAUCUUCCCUCACCUUAGGCCACCAAAAUUCCCUGGUGACCAACCACAUGGUUUUGUGUUGUCCAAAAUGCCCCGCCGUAGGGCUGUCGUGCAACUGCUUGAGUACCCUCCCCUUAACUCUCCUUCAGGGAUAUACAGUGCCCCUUUGUAAUACAAAGCUCCAUUUCUUUCCUCGAAACCCCCUGGUUCCUCUCCAUCACCCCUAAGACCUCUGAGCUUAUUCUGGGCGUAUUCAUCAUUCUCUGUUUCCUCUACCAGUUCUCUUUGUCCCACCAAUGCCGCCCCACACACCCAGCGGUCUUCUGGAAUGACAUGUCUCUCUUCGGGUGCCCCCUCCCCUCCAAAUAUUCAGGUUUGCGUGAGAGAGCGUCCGCCCUAAUGUUCUCUGGGCCUGGCACGUAACUAAUCUCAAAGUUAAAUUUGGAGAACUCCUGGGCCCAUCUCACUUGCCGUUGGUUGAGCACUCGUGCCGUCCUCCAAUACUCUAGGUUCUUGUGGUCAGUGCACACUUGCACCUUAUGUUGUGCGCCAAUUAGCAGGUGCCUCCAUCUCCGGAACGCCUCAUGAAUGGCUAGUAGUUCUCGGUCAUACACCGUGUAGUUCCUCUCGGAUUUGUUCAGCUUUCGCGAAAAAAGGCACACGGUCUCCACUCUGACCCCUUCUUGCCUGGCUGCAGAAGCACCGCCCCAAUCGCUCUGUCUGAUGCGUCAGUUUCCACUCUCAUCGGUUUUUGUAAAUCCACAUGCAGGAGUUGUUGUUCCGAGGCGAAGGCCCUUUUUAGUUCCUCAAAUGCUCGCUCCGCCUCCUCAGUCCACACGAACUUCUUCUUACUGCUGAGACAGUCCGUAAUGGGCGCCGUCAGGUGGGCAAAGUUUCGGAUGAACUUACGAUAGAAGUUCCCAAAUCCUAGGAACCUCUGCACAUCCUUCUUUGUUUUGGGUGUUUUCCAUUCCAGUACUGCCUGGACCUUGCCGGGAUCCAUGGCCAAUCCCUUGUCUGACAGGCGAUACCCCAGGAAUUCCACCUCCUUGGUAUGAAACUGACACUUCUCCAGUUUCACCCACAGCUGGUUGGCUUGCAGCCUGCUCAACACUUCUCUGACGUCUCUCACAUGCUGCUCCUCAUUCUCAGAAUACACCAACACGUCGUCUAAAAAGGCCACACAAUUCUUGUAAAGCAAAGGCCCCAGGACGUGGUUCAUAAACGAUUGAAAUGUUGCGGAGCCUGCUUGUAGGCCGAAGGGCAUAACCAAAUAUUCAAAUGCCCCUAAAGGGGUGAACAUAGUGGUUUUCCAUUCAUCCCCCUUCCUUAUUCGUACCAGGUUGUACGCCCCCCUUAGGUCCAGCUUUGU